GAAAUGCGAUAAGUAAUGUGAAUUGCAGAAUUCAGUGAAUCAUCGAAUCUUUGAACGCACCUUGCGCUCCUUGGUAUUCCUUGGAGCAUGCCUGUUUGAGUAUCAUGAAAUCUUCAAAGUAAAUCUUUUGUUAACUCAAUUGGUUUCUACUUUGGUAUUGGAGGUCUUUGCAGCUUCACACCUGCUCCUCUUUGUUCAUUAGCUGGAUCUCAGUGUUAUGCUUGGUUCCACUCGGCGUGAUAAGUUAUCUAUCGCUGAGGACACUGUAAAAGGUGGCCAAGGUAAAUGCAGAUGAACCGCUUCUAAUAGUCCAUUGACUUGGGCAAUACUUUUAUGAUCUGAUCUCAAAUCAGGUAGGACUACCCGCUGACCUUAAGC
rnacentral:misc_RNA from 1 species